AGAGUUUGAUCAUGGCUCAGAGCGAACGCUAGCGGCGGGCCUAACACAUGCAAGUCGAGCGCAUGACUUCGGUCAUGAGCGGCGGACGGGUGAGUAACACGUAGGUCAUUUACCCUCAGGUGGGGAAUAACCCGGGGAAACCCGAGCUAAUACCGCAUAUGGUCUUCGGAUCAAAGCCUUCGGGCGCCAGAGGAUGAGCCUGCGUCCCAUUACCUAGUUGGUAGGGUAACGGCCUACCAAGGGGACGAUGGGUAGCUGGUCUGAGAGGAUGAUCAGCCACACUGGGACUGAGACACGGCCCAGACUCCUACGGGAGGCAGCAGUGGGGAAUAUUGCGCAAUGGGCGAAAGCCUGACGCAGCUACGCCGCGUGGGUGAUGAAGGUCUUCGGAUCGUAAAGCUCUGUCGGGAGGGAAGAAGUUCUGACGGUACCUCCCAAGAAAGCACCGGCUAACUCCGUGCCAGCAGCCGCGGUAAUACGGAGGGUGCAAGCGUUGCUCGGAAUUACUGGGCGUAAAGCGUACGCAGGCUGUCCGUUAAGUCGGGUGUGAAAUCCCGGGGCUCAACCCCGGAAUUGCGCCCGAAACUGGCGGGCUUGAGUGCGGGAGAGGGAAGCGGAAUUCCUGGUGUAGAGGUGAAAUUCGUAGAUAUCAGGAGGAGCACCGGUGGCGAAAGCGGCUUCCUGGCCCGACACUGACGCUCAUGUACGAAAGCGUGGGGAGCAAACAGGAUUAGAUACCCUAGUAGUCC
rnacentral:rRNA from 1 species